UCUGUUGUUAGGGAAGAACAAGUGCGAGAGUAACUGCUCGCACCUUGACGGUACCUAACCAGAAAGCCACGGCUAACUACGUGCCAGCAGCCGCGGUAAUACGUAGGUGGCAAGCGUUGUCCGGAAUUAUUGGGCGUAAAGGGCUCGCAGGCGGUUUCUUAAGUCUGAUGUGAAAGCCCCCGGCUCAACCGGGGAGGGUCAUUGGAAACUGGGAAACUUGAGUGCAGAAGAGGAGAGUGGAAUUCCACGUGUAGCGGUGAAAUGCGUAGAGAUGUGGAGGAACACCAGUGGCGAAGGCGACUCUCUGGUCUGUAACUGACGCUGAGGAGCGAAAGCGUGGGGGAGCGAACAGGAUUAGAUACCCUGGUAGUCCACGCCCGUAAACGAUGAGUGCUAAGUGCUAGGGGGUUUCCCGCCCCUUAGUGCUGCAGCUAACGCAUUAAAGCACUCCGCCUGGGGGAAGUACGGUCGCAAGAACUGAAACUCAAAAGGAAAUUGACGGGGGCCCGCAUAAGCGGUGGAGCAUGUGGUUUGAUUCGAAGCAACGCGAAGAACCUUACCAGGUCUUGACAUCCUCUGACAACCCUAGAGAUAGGGCUUUCCCUUCGGGGACAGAGUGACAGGUGGUGCAUGGUUGUCGUCAGCUCGUGUCGUGAGAUGUUGGGUUAAGUCCCGCAACGAGCGCAACCCUUGAUCUUAGUUGCCAGCAUUUAGUUGGGCACUCUAAGGUGACUGCCGGUGACAAACCGGAGGAAGGUGGGGAUGACGUCAAAUCAUCAUGCCCCUUAUGACCUGGGCUACACACGUGCUACAAUGGACAGAACAAAGGGCUGCGAGACCGCAAGGUUUAGCCAAUCCCAUAAAUCUGUUCUCAGUUCGGAUCGCAGUCUGCAACUCGACUGCGUGAAGCUGGAAUCGCUAGUAAUCGCGGAUCAGCAUGCCGCGGUGAAUACGUUCCCGGGCCUUGUACACACCGCCCGUCACACCACG
rnacentral:rRNA from 1 species